rnacentral:pre_miRNA from 1 species
CAACUACUCCCUCUGUACCAAAUUUCUUGUCUUAGAUUUGUCUAGAUACGGAUGUAUCUAAUACUAAAAUGUGACUUGAUACAUCUGUAUCUAGACAAAUCUAAGAAAAGAAUUUUGGGACGGAGGGAGUAAUUU